rnacentral:lncRNA from 1 species
GACAACUUUAAUUAUAAAUUACAGUUAAAAAGAUAAUAUUAAAUUAAGUAAAAUAGUAAUGUAUUAGUAUACAAAAUGUUGUAUUUGAAAAAAAUCUGGCAUUUUUUGGUUGAAAAAGUGAAAAAACAAAAAAAAAUAACACCUUAGUCUUUUUAAUUUUUACAUGACAAGAUUUUUCAAAUUAUAAAAUUAAAUUAAAUGUUCAAACAGUCCACUGUACAUUACAACACAGUAACUUAACCUAUUUAAACGGAUAUCUGCACAUGAGAAAGUUGAGUGUAAAUGAUGUUUUGAUAUCAUCUUUCAAUUGCUAUUUCUAACUCCUGGAUGUUAGGAAAAGGCUUAGGGCCAUAAAUUGAUGAUUUUAUGUGGUCCCUGAGGGAAAAGUCACAAAGACUCAAAUCUAGAGAUUGUAGUGGCCAAACCAGGUCUCUGUUGAAUGUAAAUACAUUCCUGAGAAAACAAUUUCUUAGGCAUUCUCUUAAGCCAUGGUCACACUGUGCAAUUUUUCGUCGCGCGCGUCACUGCAACACCAACGGCAACGAGUUGCACUUGUCAAAUAGUGGUCACACUGGGAAAUGUAGCUUGUGACACAAUGGAUAGUCAGCCAAUGAGAGCACAAUAAAAUCAUCCAAUGAAGUUGUAG